UACGUAGGGGGCAAGCGUUGUCCGGAAUCAUUGGGCGUAAAGAGCGUGUAGGCGGCCAGAAAAGUCCGCUGUGAAAACUCGAGGCUCAACUUCGAGCUGUCGGUGGAAACUUUCUGGCUAGAGUCCGGAAGAGGAGAAUGGAAUUCCUGGUGUAGCGGUGAAAUGCGCAGAUAUCAGGAGGAACACCGGUGGCGAAGGCGGGUCUCUGGGCCGGAACUGACGCUAAGGAGCGAAAGCGUGGGGAGCAAACAGG
rnacentral:rRNA from 1 species